rnacentral:hammerhead_ribozyme from 1 species
AUCUAGUUGACGAGUCCCAAAUAGGACGAAAUGCGCGUCAAACUGGAU